AGUUGUAAAAAGGAGAAAGCAAAAUCGGAGCGCUCUCUCUCCAGUGUAACAAUUUCGGUGACUACAUUACCCAAGCUUCUCUUUGCCUUUAAGCCCAGCCUUUCUGGAGUAUCUCGUGGCUUAUUGGUUCUGGAGUCUUGGCGUUCGGUCGGGCUUCUGGCUCCCAUUGGUGGGCUGCGGCUGCCACUCAGGGUUGCCACAGUAACCCGGUGACACGCGCGCACACACACACACACCCGCGCAAGAUUGGCCAAGGCGGCGAUCGGGACCCGGUGGAGCCCUGCAGCCUCGCUCACGACUUGGUCUCUUUGCCGCCGCUUGCGAGCCAGGGGGGGAUCCGGAGUACACAGCCUCCCUGAGGGUACCUGUGUUAGCCGAGUGAGCGCUCGGGAUGAUGGCUAAGAUCAACCUCGGCGGAGGUCGCUUCUUUCGGAUUGAUCCAUUCGGAUUAGAAGUGACCGCGGGUUCAACGGCGGUGCCAGUAGGGGAAAAAAGAGAAGACAUCAACCAUCUAUCCAGUGAUCUGGAGGAAAGAGGGAAGAGAUUACUUGUGUGCUGACAUUCUAUCAGUGACUGGCCUUUUGCUCAAAAAAAUAAAAUACAAUGGACUCUUAUUACA